UACGGAGGGUGCAAGCGUUAAUCGGAAUUACUGGGCGUAAAGCGUGCGUAGGCGGUUCGUUAGUCUGUUGUGAAAGCCCCGGGCUCAACCUGGGAAUGGCAAUGGAUACUGGCGAGCUAGAGUGUGUCAGAGGAUGGUGGAAUUCCCGGUGUAGCGGUGAAAUGGCGUAGAGAUCGGGAGGAACAUCAGUGGCGAAGGCGCCAUC
rnacentral:rRNA from 1 species